UUGCACAGUGAACACUCUUGGCUUUGACUCUGUGCUAGAGCAAUGUCUGUUCUUUUCCUCUGCAUUGAAAGGACUGUUCAUCCUUUUAAAUGUAUUCAUAAAGUCAGUACUUUA